rnacentral:lncRNA from 1 species
AUUUUUUCAAGUUUGUCACAGAAAGUACUGAUGUAAAACAGGACUGACAAGUGUACGGAGCUGUCAGGAUCUGAAAGCUUGCAGGUGUCUGUCUGCCUCUUACUGCUGGGAUUGGACUCCAAAGCCUGUGGAAGGACUGACGGUCUUCAAGCAGUGUAACAGAGGUGAGCCCUGAAAGCCUCUUUCUAAGCUUUCUUCUGGUGCUCUUACUGCAUCGAGACAGGAGUAACC